CAGUAGCCGCGGGAAUACGGAGGGUGCAAGCGUUAAUCGGAAUUACUGGGCGUAAAGCGCACGCAGGCGGUCUGUCAAGUCAGAUGUGAAAUCCCCGGGCUUAACCUGGGAACUGCAUUUGAAACUGGCAGGCUAGAGUCUUGUAGAGGGGGGUAGAAUUCCAGGUGUAGCGGUGAAAUGCGUAGAGAUCUGGAGGAAUACCGGUGGCGAAGGCGGCCCCCUGGACAAAGACUGACGCUCAGGUGCGAAAGCGUGGGGAGCAAACAGGAUUAGAUACCCGGGUAGUCCUUGUCUCUUAUAC
rnacentral:rRNA from 1 species